rnacentral:lncRNA from 1 species
AUGCAACUUGCGCGUACAAACCUCCACGUCCGAUCUCACGCGAUUCGGUACAUAAAAUGUCGCAACUUUUGCGAAAUUACCGUUUUGCCAUCACCGACCUCUCCUCGAUCAACGUGCGAUCUCCGUAGAUCCGUCCGUCAGAUUUGCGAACGGAUUGUACCAGUGCGAUCAGCACUUCGGAGACAACAAAGCUACCAUUUUGGUUCACCUCGAACGGUCACGGAUUCGCGACGAAAUCCAAUCUCUCUCCAUAAGGCCAAAAUGACGCACAAUUACAUAUAAAACGCGUAUUUUUAGAUUUUCUCAAUCCGUGCAUCAAACUCAAAAUCCGUCAGCGCCAGUAGUUCCAGAAUAGCUGAAUCCUUCGAAAUGAGCUAUUGGACUGCUAUGAACGGAGCCCGAUACGCACCAGAAGCCAACUCUACUCCGUGGCCUCUUCGGAAAACCGGAGUUACUAUUUACUUAAGUGAAAACUAAUAAUCGCGUAACUUCUCCGUUUAAGCUCAUUUUCUCCUGAAACUUGACAAGUGCUUAUGUAAUUAAAUUACACACAUAAACAUCGUCAACAGAGAGUUUAGUUGCACAGUCAAAAAUCUCAGUCCUUACAAUUAUUUGCGCGUAGUAUACUAUAUUAUUCGUAAUUUAGUAUAAAAAUUUGUGCAACAUUAUAUAAAUUGUGCAAACAUUGUACUGUUUACACAAAUACUACACUAUUUGGAAGAAAUAUUGCACAAUUUGGAACAAUGUUGCACCAUUUAAGAUGUAUUUCAUUCUUUCUUUUUUACUUUUAUUAUUUGAAGUUUUUUAUUUGUAUGUUAAUAAGAAUUUCAUUUUUCAAGAAAAAGGUAACUGUAAUAAUGACUUGUCAGCUGCAUUUUUUAAGAUAAUUAAUGCAUGUACUUCUUAUGCAUUUUGAAAGAGGGGUAGUUUGGUCAUCUUUUUGAAAAAGCGGACCGAAUCUG